GUGCUUGACUUGGCUGCACACAUUGGAAUGAAAAUGGGUACAAUUCGGUAAAGGUCAUCAGGGCCUUGCACAAGAACAGCAUGCAAAUUCAUCGAGGUUCCCUGUCUU
rnacentral:snRNA from 1 species